ensembl:lncRNA
AAUCACCUUUACUGCUGGACCCAUCUGCAAGGAGACAGGGACGUAUGCCCUCAGAUGUGUCUCCCCGAUCCAGGGCUUGGGGCACAGUUUAAGGGAUGAAGGGCAGGACGGUCUGACGUGUGGAGGUAGAUGACGGAGGGGAGGAGAGAUGCUCCUCUUGGAAUCCAGCCACCAUGUCAUGAGGAACCCAAACCACAUGGGAAGUCCAUGUGUGGGUGUCCUGAUGGACAGCCCCAGCCCGGCAUCAGCCUGGGAGCCAGUGUCCCUUCAGACGACCCAGCCCCAGCCUUGAGGCUCCCAGCUGAGGCCUCAGGCAUCGUGGAGCAGAGACAAGCCCUUCCUGCCAUGCCCUGUUCAAACUCCUGACCCAUGGAAACCACUCCCAGGCAAGCUCCUGUGAGAGAAGCAAAGUAUCUGUCUGACCAGAGGCAGCUUUCAAGGAACCUCCACGUCUGCCAGGAGAGAUAGGACCGCUCCCCGCGCAGCUGUAAGUGAAGAAUAAAUGCCGAGAAGAGGAACUUCUGAUCAAGGAUUACAAACAUUUUAUGCCAAGCUGUCCUGCAGAAAGAUUGGGCUCGACUCCAAGGAGGAGUCAUUUGCGGAUGCUGGGUGUUUUAUUUUGGGGACGUAGUGGGGGAGGCCUGAGCUGUCAGAUGGCACCAGGAGGCAAGGAGGCAACGGCAACUUUAGGGUGGGAGGAGGUGACGGGGGCGGCUAAGUUUGAAGGUGCCACUGGGACUUGGUGGGGGGUAGAGACAGCUCGCCCCUUUGCCUGAGGUGGUCCUGGUCCUGUGUCUGUCCAGGGCUGGUGCCGAUGGCACGCCCAGUGUGCCCAUGACUGUGACGGCAUCAGCAAAUUCCUGCUGGUUGUCAUUUUGCCAUCUGAGUUAACUCUCUCAGAGGCAUUCGCUGAGCAUCCCUUUGUGGGUGGGCGUUUUGGGCUUAAAGGACCCAGAGAAAGUGGGACCCUAGAAAGAAGGUGAGGCCUGAGGAAAGCGGCUGUGGGGCUGCAUGUUCCUGGGUUUGAGUCCUGACUCGGCCACUGUGUGUUUGGGGCACGGUAUGGAGCCUCCCUGACCUCAGGGUCCUGAAAACCAGGGUGAGGGUCAGCAUCCUCCUCCAGCACCUGCUGGUGUUGAGGGCGCUGCCCCGUGCUGGGCGGGCACUUAGGGGGAGCAGGUGGCAAUGCCAUGGACCGAGCGUGCCUCAGGUCCUUCUCCAGAAGGGACAGGACCCAGAGGGCCACAUCAGAGCCAGGCACAGGUGUGGGAUAGAUGCUCUGCUCAGGCCCUCAACUCUCGACACUGACAAAUGGGGACAGGGAAGGCAGUGCAGCUGAAGCCUUGGGGACUGGGGCUCUGAACUUGGCUGCACAUCAGAAUCACCUGGGAGCCUCAAAAACCCCAACACUCUGGCCACACCCCAGAUCAGCUGCAUCAGGAUCUCUGGGGUGGUGGGUGGGGUUGGACCAGGCUUUUUUGUGUGUGAUAAGACAUACAUAACAAACUUUACCAUCUUAACCAUCUUUUUUUUUUUUUAAAGAUUUAAAUUUUUCCUUUUUCUCCCCAAAUCCCCCAAGUACAGAGUUGUAUUUUUAGUUGUGAGUCCUUCCAGUUGUGGCACGUGGGACGCCGCCUCAGCGUGGCCUGAUGAGCCGUGCGAUGUCCAAGCCCAAGAUUCAAACCGGUGAAACCCUGGGCUGCCGAAGCAGAGCGCGCGCACUUAACCACUGGGCCGUGGGGCCGGCCCCCAUCGCCAUCUCUACGUGUACAUUCCCUCUCCCUGCCCGUCUACGGAGGCCCUCUUCCUCCUACAGAAAAGUUUCUAACUUGGUGGGGAGCACGGAAGGAGCCAACGGAAUCCAUGCUUAAGAACCAAAACCCCAUACACACGGUUUGACAACGUUUCAAGGGGCGAGCGUGCGGGAAAAGUGAUUCUUUGUUCACUAGUUUAUUAAUUUAUUCAAUAAACACUUUGUGUCAGGCA